rnacentral:rRNA from 1 species
GGCAACGGCCAUACCACGUUGAAAACACCGGUUCUCGUCUGAUCACCGAAGUUAAGCAACGUUGGGUUUGGCUUAGUACUUGGAUGGGUGACCGCCUGGGAAUACCAAAUGCUGUUGUCU